rnacentral:misc_RNA from 1 species
GAUGAAGAACGCAGUGAAAUGCGAUACUUGGUGUGAAUUGCAGAAUCCCGUGAACCAUCGAGUCUUUGAACGCAAGUUGCGCCCGAAGCCACUAGGCCGAGGGCACGCCUGCCUGGGCGUCACACGUCGUUGCCCCCCCCCCAUCUACUCCUUCGGGAUUGCGGGGGGCGGAUGAUGGCCUCCCGUGCGCCUAGCCGCGCGGUUGGCAUAAAUACCACGUCCUCGGCGACGCACGCCACGACAAUCGGUGGUUGCGAAACCUCGGUUGCCCGUCGUGUGCGUUCGUCGCGCAUCGAGGGCUCGAAAAAAUGCUCGGCUCCGGCUCGGCUUUCAACGCGACCCCAGGUCAGGCGGGGUUACCCGCUGAAUUUAAGCAUAUCAAUAAGCGGAGGA